rnacentral:rRNA from 1 species
CUCUUUUUGAAAAUAAUUUAAAGUAGGGCCUGCCCCAUGAUUUAUAUUGAAGGGCCGCAGUAUUUUGACUGUGCAAAGGUAGCAUAAUCAUUAGUUUUUUAAUUGAAAGCUUGUAUGAAUGGUUUGAUGAAAAAAUGACUUUCUUUAAUUUAAUAAAAAUGAAUUUUAUUUUUAAGUUAAAAAGCUUAAAUAAUUAUAAUAGACGAGAAGACCCUAUAGAGUUUAAUUUUUAAAAGUUAAUAAAUUUUUAGAAUUUUUUGAUUUCUUGAUUUUUAAGAAUUUGAUUGGGGUGAUUGAAAAAUUAAUAUAACUUUUUUUUUAUUAAUACAUUAAUUUAUGAAUAUUUGAUCCAAUAAAUUGAUUAUAAGAAUAAAUUACCUUAGGGAUAACAGCGUUAUUUUUUUUUAAAGUUCUAAUCGAAAAAAGAGAUUGCGA